rnacentral:tmRNA from 1 species
GGGGGCGUUCUGGUUUCGACGGGAACGAGGAAGCCCGAGUGGCGUGUAGAGGUGCUGGUGGCCUCUUCAAAACCAGCGAACCAAUAGCUGCCAACAACAACGUUGAGUACGCUCUCGCCGCGUAAUCGGUGAGCGUCGGAUCCUCCUUCGCCUGUGAGGUGGAAUCCGGUGUAACUACAGCAGGCUGGAGUCCGGGACAGCGUCCGACGCGCGGUCCCGGGAUCGAGAACAAAUCAUCGGAACCCUGACCGGUCCCUGUGCAUGGGGCCGCCGACCAGGGAUUUACAGUACAUGCACUACGCACGUAGAAGCUCGGGUGGACCGUUUUCGGACGGGGGUUCGACUCCCCCCGCCUCCACUC